UAAAGCAGAUUAAAGAGAGAAACGAUCACAUAACAGAUGCGAAUGCAGCGCAAGUGGAGUCGCUUUAAAUGUAAGAUGCACGUUUCAGAUGACUCAACGUGUCUGCCCCCUGGCAACAGCAGUCUUCGCAUACAAAAUAAAAACGUUUUUGUGGGGAAAGUAUUAAAGCAUUUUAAAACAAUUAUCGCAACAAAAGAAGCGGAACAGUAAAUCUAAGGAGACCCAUAUGAAUGUGAAAAGGAGUUAUGCAACAGUUCACCUUGUCAUCGUUUAGAAAUGCUUUUUAGCAUGAAGUGGGAGAGACCAUGAAAAUCCUAUUCGUUCUAGGUAAAAAUAAACUGUAUAAAUUGGGUGUUCUAAACGGGAACUUGACAUUCGUAUUCAGCGAUCACUAAAACCAUAAUGAAGCUCUACCUUGGAAUCCUUCUGGCCGUUGUCUUGCCGCUCCUUGUGGCUGGACACCCCUCCAAGUCCCCGAAGGGUGAUUCGCCAACAGGAGCACCCUAAGCGGAUGUUCCACUUUCGCCUUCACAAAGCCGUUGUAGACUUGCCUUAAUCUUGCAGAUGAUUUUUGUUGAUCAAUAAAUCAGGCAUUCACAUUA